rnacentral:rRNA from 1 species
UACGUAGGGUGCGAGCGUUGUCCGGAAUUAUUGGGCGUAAAGAGCUCGUAGGCGGUCUGUCGCGUCGGUCGUGAAAACUCCGGGCUCAACCCGGAGACGCCACCCGAUACUGUCGUGACUGGAGUCCGGUAGGGGAGUGGGGAAUUCCUGGUGUAGCGGUGAAAUGCGCAGAUAUCAGGAGGAACACCGGUGGCGAAGGCGCCACUCUGGGCCGGUACUGACGCUGAGGAGCGAAAGCGUGGGGAGCAAACAGG